GUGCUUGCUUGGGCAGCACACAGACUGAAAUGAGAACGAUACAGAGAAGAAUCUCAUGGCCCCGUGCAAGGAUGACAUGCAAAUUCGUGAGGUAGUCCAUGUUUUU